rnacentral:tRNA from 1 species
GGUUUGUAGCUCAGUGGUAGAGCGCUCGCCUAGCAUGUGUGAGGCACCGGGUUCAAUUCUCAGCACCA